CACUAUAGCUAUCAUGCAGUCGAGCGAAUGAUGAGGAGCUUGCUCCUCUGAUUUAGCGGCGGACGGGUGAGUAACACGUGGGUAAUCUGCCUGUAAGACGGGGAUAACUCCGGGAAACCGGGGCUAAUACCGGAUAAUAAGAGAAGAAGCAUUUCUUCUUUUUGAAAGUCGGUUUCGGCUGACACUUACAGAUGAGCCCGCGGCGCAUUAGCUAGUUGGUGAGGUAACGGCUCACCAAGGCGACGAUGCGUAGCCGACCUGAGAGGGUGAUCGGCCACACUGGGACUGAGACACGGCCCAGACUCCUACGGGAGGCAGCAGUAGGGAAUCUUCGGCAAUGGGCGAAAGCCUGACCGAGCAACGCCGCGUGAGCGAUGAAGGCCUUCGGGUCGUAAAGCUCUGUUGUUAGAGAAGAACAAGUACGAGAGUAACUGCUCGUACCUUGACGGUACCUAACCAGAAAGCCACGGCUAACUACGUGCCAGCAGCCGCGGUAAUACGUAGGUGGCAAGCGUUAUCCGGAAUUAUUGGGCGUAAAGCGCGCGCAGGCGGUCUCUUAAGUCUGAUGUGAAAGCCCACGGCUCAACCGUGGAGGGUCAUUGGAAACUGGGAGACUUGAGUGCAGGAGAGAAAAGUGGAAUUCCACGUGUAGCGGUGAAAUGCGUAGAGAUGUGGAGGAACACCAGUGGCGAAGGCGGCUUUUUGGCCUGUAACUGACGCUGAGGCGCGAAAGCGUGGGGAGCAAACAGGAUUAGAUACCCUGGUAGUCCACGCCGUAAACGAUGAGUGCUAGGUGUUGGGGGGUUCCACCCUCAGUGCUGAAGUUAACACAUUAAGCACUCCGCCUGGGGAGUACGACCGCAAGGUUGAAACUCAAAGGAAUUGACGGGGGCCCGCACAAGCAGUGGAGCAUGUGGUUUAAUUCGAAGCAACGCGAAGAACUUACAGGUCUGACAUCCUUUGACACUCUAGAAGAUAGAAGCUUCCCUUCGGGGACAAAGAGACAGGUGGUGCAUGGAUGC
rnacentral:rRNA from 2 species